rnacentral:rRNA from 1 species
GAUGAACGCUGGCGGCGUGCCUAAUACAUGCAAGUCGAGCGAACAGACGAGGAGCUUGCUCCUCUGACGUUAGCGGCGGACGGGUGAGUAACACGUGGAUAACCUACCUAUAAGACUGGGAUAACUUCGGGAAACCGGAGCUAAUACCGGAUAAUAUAUUGAACCGCAUGGUUCAAUAGUGAAAGACGGUUUUGCUGUCACUUAUAGAUGGAUCCGCGCCGCAUUAGGUAGUUGGUAAGGUAACGGCUUACCAAGGCAACGAUGCGUAGCCGACCUGAGAGGGUGAUCGGCCACACUGGAACUGAGACACGGUCCAGACUCCUACGGGAGGCAGCAGUAGGGAAUCUUCCGCAAUGGGCGAAAGCCUGACGGAGCAACGCCGCGUGAGUGAUGAAGGUCUUCGGAUCGUAAAACUCUGUUAUUAGGGAAGAACAAAUGUGUAAGUAACUAUGCACGUCUUGACGGUACCUAAUCAGAAAGCCACGGCUAACUACGUGCCAGCAGCCGCGGUAA